rnacentral:rRNA from 1 species
GAUGAACGCUGGCGGCGUGCCUAAUACAUGCAAGUCGAGCGAAUGGAUUAAGAGCUUGCUCUAAUGAAGUUAGCGGCGGACGGGUGAGUAACACGUGGGUAACCUGCCCAUAAGACUGGGAUAACUCCGGGAAACCGGGGCUAAUACCGGAUAACAUUUUGAACCGCAUGGUUCGAAAUUGAAAGGCGGCUUCGGCUGUCACUUAUGGAUGGACCCGGGUUGCAUUAGCUAGUUGGUGAGGUAACGGCUCACCAAGGCAACGAUGCGUAGCCGACCUGAGAGGGUGAUCGGCCACACUGGGACUGAGACACGGCCCAGACUCCUACGGGAGGCAGCAGUAGGGAAUCUUCCGCAAUGGACGAAAGUCUGACGGAGCAACGCCGCGUGAGUGAUGAAGGCUUUCGGGUCGUAAAACUCUGUUGUUAGGGAAGAACAAGUGCUAGUUGAAUAAGCUGGCACCUUGACGGUACCUAACCAGAAAGCCACGGCUAACUACGUGCCAGCCGCCGCAGUAA